rnacentral:rRNA from 1 species
UGGGGAAUUUUGCGCAAUGGGCGAAAGCCUGACGCAGCAACGCCGCGUGUGUGAUGAAGGUCUUCGGAUUGUAAAGCACUUUCGACCGGGACGAAACGCUCUGACCUAACACGUCAGGGACUUGACGGUACCGGGAGAAGAAGCACCGGCUAACUCUGUGCCAGCAGCCGCGGUAAUACAGAGGGUGCAAGCGUUGUUCGGAAUUAUUGGGCGUAAAGCGCGUGUAGGCGGCUUUGCAAGUCGGGUGUGAAAGCCCUCGGCUCAACCGAGGAAGUGCGCCCGAAACUGCAGAGCUCGAGUGCCAGAGAGGGUGGCGGAAUUCCCCAAGUAGAGGUGAAAUUCGUAGAUAUGGGGAGGAACACCAGUGGCGAAGGCGGCCACCUGGAUGGUGACUGACGCUGAGACGCGAAAGCGUGGGGAGCAAACAG